rnacentral:lncRNA from 1 species
UAGAAAAUAACUUACUUUCAAGCUGCAUGGUGACCAUAGAUUAACACAACUCACACAAAUUUCGGCUUACUGUUGUAUGAGUACAUAUAAAACUCAAAAGGAGUUAUUCGAUUGGAAUAAAUUAUGUUUGAAUUAGUUAUGAGGAGAUUAGUUAUGUUGAGAUUGGUUAUGUUACGAUUAGUUAUACUAAUGUUAUUUUUUAUUGAUUGUUUAGUAUAUUGUAUUACUCCUGAGAUUGUUAAUUUUAUUGCUUUAUUCCGGAAUAACUUAUCUCGUGAUUGCUAUUCCCCCUCUUGCUAGGUAUAAAUUUUCCUUGUGCUAUUUUUAAUCAUGGAAUAAUUUAUCUCAAAAUUAGUGAUAAGACGAUAUUAUAUUUUUAUCCCAAAAUUAUUUUUGCUUAUUAAACGUACCCAACGACUCCUUAGGGGUCGUUUGGUUGGAAUACAACUUAUGUUAGGAUAAGUUAUCAUAGUAUUAUUUUUUAUCCAUUGUUUGCUAUGUU